GCUUAACGCGAAGAACCUUACCUGGCCUUGACAUCCCAGGAACCCUGAAGAGAUUUAGGGGUGCCGCAAGGAACCUGGAGACAGGUGCUGCAUGGCUGUCGUCAGCUCGUGUCGUGAGAUGUUGGGUUAAGUCCCGCAACGAGCGCAACUCUCGUUCUAUGUUGCCAGCGGUUCGGCCGGGAACUCAUAGGAGACUGCCGGGGUCAACUCGGAGGAAGGUGGGGAUGACGUCAAAUCAUCAUGCCCCUUAUGUCUUGGGCUUCACGCAUGCUACAAUGGCCGGUACAAAGGGCUGCAAUACCGUAAGGUGGAGCGAAUCCCAAAAAGCCGGUCUCAGUUCGGAUUGAGGUCUGCAACUCGACCUCAUGAAGUCGGAGUCGCUAGUAAUCGCAGAUCAGCAACGCUGCGGUGAAUACGUUCCCGGGUCUUGUACACACCG
rnacentral:rRNA from 1 species